ensembl:lncRNA
UGCGGAAAUGGGCUUCUGUAGUUGUGUGAAUGCAUCAUUCCAGCCAAUCCAACCAAUCAGGUGUAGAGACCAUGGUGACUGGCUCCGCCCCCUUACUGUCAAAAACAGCGAGCGCGCAGAAAACACCUUCUCGAGUAUGUUGUUUUUCACAUGAACGCAACUUUUGACCUGGGUUUGGCUCCAUGCUCGAGCGCUCAAAUUCUGGUUUUGCAAGCGAGCAAAUAGCUCCCGCGAGGUGGACUUAUGCUCUCUCGAGACCGACUUUUGGUCGCGCGUGAUUUGCGCUCUCGGGUUUUGACAGUAAUUUGCCUUCGUAGUGUGGGUUGUUGUGAGUCCGUUUCGAUCCGCUUCUUCACUGCAUUGCCCACAAUCAUCGGUCCUUACAGGGUACAACGCUGCAGUUCGCCCAUCUGGCCGACAGGUGGCAGUGACGACUACACUUUGAAAAAAAAAGCUAAACUUUAAGUGAAAAAACAGAAGGGGAGAAGAAAGGGGAAAGGAAAGAAGCUAGCGGCGCAGAGGUGAACUUUAGCGUGCAGCUAGCUCACAACUUUACCAACUCUCUGCGGUCGGCCGCAGCUUCCUUUCAGCCCGGUUCAGUCAGAGGAAACGAGGGCGCGAACAGCUGACUGACUUCCCCUUGUUUCACGCCGAUCACAGACUGAAGACUUCAAAGUGGAACUAGAAGAGAUGCACAUGAGGUAACAAAGCCCUUCCGGCUUAAACUAAUGCAGCCAAAAGUCUUGCAAUAAAUCUGACUACAUAUGAAGGUCAUAAUUCAAUUUUUCUUUUUGACCGGGAUCAAUUCACUGAUUAUUUGAAGGAUGUUAUUUGUGAUUCCUCUUUCCGGGAGGUGUUCCUAUUAUUGUGUCCGACGACCCAAUAACAUCACCAUUGGUUUCAUUAUGUUUCUGGAACUUGAUUUUUGUACGACUGAGGGAGAUUGUACCUUUUCAUAGAACAGAUUUGUGUGAUUUUUGUGUUUACUUGCAGCACAGGGAAUAAACAUCAGAACAGUGUUACAAUAUAGUAGGAGUAAUUAAACUAAACCAAGUGGUUCUUCUCUGUUGGGAACCGGAAGGCCACGUUAUGAUCAGAGCGCAAUGACAACAAAC